GAUGAACGCUGGCAGAAUGCUUAACACAUGCAAGUCGAUGGGGAAGUGGUGCUUGCACCCUGGUAACCAUGGCGGACGGGUGAGUAACGCGUAAGGAACUUACCUGCGGGACCGGGAUAACAGCAGGAAACUGCUGACAAGACCGGAUAAGGUCAUUAAGCUGCAUAGCUUAGUGAUGAAAGGAGACGCCUGCGGAGAGCCUUGCGUCCUAUUAGCUAGUUGGAGGGGUAACGGCCCACCAAGGCGAAGAUAGGUAGCCGGCCUGAGAGGGUGGACGGCCACAAGGGGACUGAGAUACGGCCCUUACUCCUACGGGAGGCAGCAGUGGGGAAUAUUGGACAAUGGGGGCAACCCUGAUCCAGCAAUUCUGUGUGCACGAAGACGGUUUUCGGAUUGUAAAGUGCUUUCAGCAGGGAAGAAGGAAGUGACGGUACCUGCAGAAGAAGCGACGGCUAAAUACGUG
rnacentral:rRNA from 1 species